CUUCAGUUUAGGAAUUAAAUGUUUUGCAUACAUACUUACAUCCAUGCAAAACAUUUAAUUCCUAAACUGAAG